rnacentral:RNase_P_RNA from 14 species
GUGGAGGGCCGGACGGCCGCCUUGGGGAAACCCCGGGAGGAAAGUCCGGACUCGCCAAAGCACCGGUGCCGGGUAACGCCCGGGCAGGGCAACCUGACGGAAAGCGCCACAGAAAACAGACCGCCUGUCGCCUGUCGGCAGGUAAGGGUGAAACGGUGGGGUAAGAGCCCACCGGGGGGAUGGCAACAUCGCCCGCUUGGCAAGCCCCACCGGGAGCAAUGCCGUGUAGGGACCUCGCGUCCGACUGAUCCCGCUUGCGGGAUAUCGGGACAGGGCGGCUUUGGCCCGAGAGGUCCGGGUUGGCAGCUAGAGCCGCGCGGCAACGUGCGGCCCAGAGGAAUGGUCGUCUGAGGGGGCAACCCCGACAACAGAAUCCGGCUUACAGGCCCUCCGCGCAU